AAAAAAAAGAAAAAAAAAAAUGAAGUGAAAAAUUGCAAUAUCUGUUGUAAUUUUUUUAAGUACAUAAUUGUGCGCACUAAAGUAUGUACAUAUAUAUAUAUAUAUAUAUAUAUAUAUAUAUAUUUGUUUUUACUUAUUUAUGUAUUCUUUUCUUUUUUUUUUUUUUUUUGUAAAGGUAAAUCAUUUUAUAACCGAAGCACUAGGCUGUGGUGGGGGCACUACCAUUUACGAAUUGGCAGUAGAUUACAAGUAAGACUAAACAAAGGGAUUAAAUUUUCACAUUUUCAACAUAUAGGGAGAUUUAUAGAAUUUGCUCGAGCCUCAAAAUCGUUAAGAGCAGCGACACUAAGUAAGUGCUUGCGCAGGAAUUUUUGGAACACCAACUUUUUUUUUAAUGGUCAGCCUAAAACAGGAAACAAAAUUAAAAACAACUCGAAGACAUCUCAAGAUGAAGGAGCAUACAUAUAUGCCGUAGAAAAAGGAAAAAUAACUCCAUCCGAUAAAGAAUUACAGAAGUUGGAAUUGAUUUUAGGAGUACCAUUAAAAAGAAAAAAACAAAAAACACUGCUUCGUAGGUUGUAGUUAUUUUAGUUUAUUUACUUAUGUUGGUUUCUCAUUCUUUCUCUUUUUCCCUCCUUUUCACUCUUUUUAUGUGUGUGUGUGUGUGUGUUUUUUUGUUUUUUUCUUUUUAUUGUUUUUUUCAAAAUGCUAUUAAAAAAAUGCUUCCCCUUUGGGCUGUUAUAGGCAUGAAGGAACGAGAAAAAAAAAAACAAAUAAAAUAAUUUUAAAUUUUACCGCUUUUUUUUUU
rnacentral:lncRNA from 1 species